rnacentral:rRNA from 1 species
AUUGAACGCUGGCGGCAUGCCUAACACAUGCAAGUCGAACGGCAGAACGGGUCUUUCCCCUUGAUUCCGCGUCGGACGGGGGAGUGAUAUCUAUGAGUCUACGUGGUGUUGGGGGGUAACGUCCGGCGAAAGCCGGUAAUAUAGCAUACAUCCUGUGGGGGUAAGAGGGGGGUCUUCGGCCGUCUCGCUCUCAGAUGAGGCGAGGUCGGAUUAGCUAGUUGGUGGGGUAAAGGCCUACCAAGGCGACGAUCCGUAGCUGGUCUGAGAGGAUGAUCAGCCACACUGGAACUGAGACACGGCCCAGACUCCUACGGGAGGCAGCAGUGGGGAAUUUUGGACAAUGGGCGAAAGCCUGAUCCAGCAAUGCCGCGUGUGUGAAGAAGGCCUUCGGAUUGUAAAGCACUUUUGUCCGGAAAGAAAGCCUUUGCCCUAAUACGGUCGGGGGAUGACGGUACCGGAAGAAUAAGCACCGGCUAACUACGUG